CAGCCGCCGCGGUAAAACGGAGGAUCCAAGCGUUAUCCGGAAUCAUUGGGUUUAAAGGGUCCGUAGGCGGUCUUGUAAGUCAGUGGUGAAAGCCCAUCGCUCAACGGUGGAACGGCCAUUGAUACUGCAGGACUUGAAUUAUUGGGAAGUAACUAGAAUAUGUAGAGUAGCGGUGAAAUGCUUAGAGAUUACAUGGAAUACCAAUUGCGAAGGCAGGUUACUACCAAUUGAUUGACGCUGAUGGACGAAAGCGUGGGUAGCGAACAGGAUUAGAUACCCGCGUAGUCCCUGUCUCUUAUAC
rnacentral:rRNA from 1 species